AUUUUCCUACGGGAGGCAGCAGUGGGGAAUAUUGGACAAUGGGGGCAACCCUGAUCCAGCAAUGCCGCGUGAGUGAGGAAGGCCUUCGGGUUGUAAAGCUCUUUCGCACGCGACGAUGAUGACGGUAGCGUGAGAAGAAGCCCCGGCUAGCUUCGUGCCAGCAGCCGCGGUAAUACGAAGGGGGCUAGCGUUAUGCGGAAUUACUGGGCGUAAAGGGCGCGUAGGCGGCGCAUUAAGUCAGGAGUGAAAGCCCCGGGCUCAACCUGGGAACGGCUCUUGAUACUGGUGCGCUUGAGUUCCGGAGAGGAUGGUGGAAUUCCCAGUGUAGAGGUGAAAUUCGUAGAUAUUGGGAAGAUCACCGGUGGGGAAGGCGGCCAUCUGGACGGACACUGAGGCUGAGGCGCGGAGGCG
rnacentral:rRNA from 1 species